rnacentral:piRNA from 1 species
UUCCUCAUUUCGUAUUUUAGGAUUGCCAGU